CAUGCGAUUCAAUUUAAUUUCACACGCGAGAAUGUAAGGAAUUAAGUGAAAGGAAAUCAUUGUAAACACAGCACACAUGACUAAAUGGCACUCAUAAAUAGACAUGAUAUCAAAUAAGACAUGCUGUUAGUUAAUAUAAAGAGAAUGGCAGGAUUUAGUUUAGUAGUGUUAAUUGUGACAUAUACAUUCAAAUAGAGUGAUGUAAAAAGAAGUCUCUGUUUUUUCCUAACAGAUCCAAAACCAGACAUUACAGUCCAAUUUUAUGAGGACUUCACCAUCAUCUGUUUGAUUCCUGGAUCCGUCAGUCCUGACACCACCUGUAACCUGUAUGUUGGAGAGGAGAGUCAGCCAUCCUUCACAGCAAAGAUCAAGAAGAGAAAAGCCACCUCAGCAGCCGGAGAGCAGUUCUGUCAAUUCACUCCAAAUCAUAGUGAUCUGAUCAGUGGUCUACAGUCAGUGAGGAGUAAGGAGGUGAGCUGUGACUACGGAGUGAGCUCAGGACCAAACUCUCUCUCUCCACGCAGUGAUGGGAAAAGCUUUGCACAUCUGGUGGGAGUUCACAUUAGUGAUCCAACAACUAAACACUUUCCAGCAGCAGGUUCGACUGUUAGUUCUACUUUGACCCCCAACACUCCAGUGAGACCAACUACCUAUAGGCCCACUAAAUGUUUGACCUCUCCUUUGACCCCCAGUACAGCACUGAAUCCAUCAUCAGGUUCGACUCUUAGUUCUACUCUGACCACUGACACUCCAAGUAAAGGUAAGUAUGUCCACAACAUUUUAGUUUAG
rnacentral:lncRNA from 8 species